UUACUUUUCUCCCUUUAGGGCUUCAGGCUAAAGAAAGUAAAAAUGUUACGAUGAAGGACCCAUUAGCCCCUGGGGGGUUGACCCCUGCGAGUAUUCCAAAUGUGAAUACCUCGGGCGCGUAAUUUUUGGUAGCGGGGAUUGCGUACGCGCAUAUCCCUA
rnacentral:snRNA from 11 species